rnacentral:miRNA from 1 species
UUGAAAUGGACGAUUGUCUGUG